ensembl:lncRNA
GGGCCCCGGCUAUCGGGCCAUCUGUGACGCGGUCCACGUCCGAGCCCAUUCAACCAGCAGCAAAACAAAGCGCUGGACCGGACUCCUUCGGUGACAGCUUUUAUUUGGAAUGUCGGCGCCAUUGCCAACUCCCAGCAUGCACUGCGGCGCUCACAAGGGAGAAGGCUGUCCAGAAAGACCAGCCUCAACCGGUCUUCACGUUCAAGUCUGGUCGACUGUCUCUCCUGCUCCUCCUACCUCCAUGGAGGUCAACUGUCUCUCCUGCUUCUCCUGUCUCCCUAGUGUUAAACGGUCUCUCCUGCUCUUCCUUCCUCCCUUGAGGUCUUAUGUCUCUCCUGCUCCUCCUUUUCUCCCUUGAGGUCUUAUGUCUCUC